CACCUUCACAAAUAAGAUACCGUGGGUAAUACGACUGUAGCCUUGAGUUCAUCUUCUUGAUCGUGGAUCCUGUUCAUCAGACUCCCAAAAGGAUUUGUCAGCAUUACUGGCAACUAAACGCAAAACAGUGAGCCAAAAGUGACAGUUCUAUUCAGUUAAAUUUAGGUCAUAGUAAUGCCAAACUUAUUCACAAGUGUCCACAUGACUGACAAACAUAUUAUCAAAUCUUUGAUAUUGUUAAAAAGUGUUGAAUUCACAAGCUAGAAGAACUAAUAAACUCCAGUGAUUCAUCCCUUCACUUUAUGAAAAAUCUUAAUAAAUCUACGGAACCAAGCCACGCGUUUUCUAUACGGUCACGAUUUCCUUUGUAACUUGUAUUGUUCGUUUUCGAUCAUGUAACUGGUUUAUUUCUAAGUGAAAUGCUUGUUCUUUCAGACUUGCUAAUGAUUUACUGUUUCGUGUGCUCUUGAAUAUUUUAGAUAUUUUUGUACACUGGAUUUUGUAUUGAGUGAAUUUAUGUAUUAUUUUGUAAAUUUGGGCAACUUUCUAAUUUUUUUUUAGUUAUUUUUGUUAAUAAGUAUGUGUCGUGAUCCCUAGCUUCCGCUUUUCUACCGUGAUGGACUUGUUCAUUUAGGUUUAAAAAGUAUAAUUUUCUAAUUUUUUUUUCAACGAAUUAAAAAAAAUUAUCUUUCGCACAGCAAAUAAUUUUGUAGCAAGUUAAAAAGAAUACAUAUGAGACAUUACUACUACGAAAUACAAAACCUCACAGAAAAAUAAAAGAAACUGAUAUUUUGUGUUUGGAUGUCGGCGGCACCAAUAUAUCCUGGCGGGCUUUGAUUAUAACUACACCAGUUCUUUUAUAAAGUACUUCGUAAAAUACGAUUUGAGUGAAACAAUCUUGAUCACCAGAUUUUCAAUAUUUUUAAUAUUAACCGAACUAAUCUGGAUUACGAUCUUUUGCAAAUAUGUUUUACAGUAUAUUGCAAUAUACGUGCGCACGGGGUAAGCUGCGAGACUCAAGAAUGCAAGUGAAGCGGUCCGGUAGGCAGUACGGAAAAGUCUGGUCUGGAAUCAUCAGAAACUUCGAGUUUCGUUGUGAAGGGAAAAUGAAGAAUGGUCUGUUAAUAUACAAUAGAAAUACUUAUAGAUACAAUGCCAUUGACCAAGACAUACUAGUAAAAAAAAUCAGACUUGAAAAAAUAAUCGUAUAUCUAUCUCUCUCUAUCGUUCUGUGAACAUUUUAACAGCACUAAAGAUUCAAACAGCGUUGAAUUCGUCCGGAAUAGUUCCGUAUGUGAGCCCAAGAAACUCUUUACAACAUAGUCGCUCCGGGAGAUGGAAAACUUGACAGAAAAACUACACGGCGGUCCAUACUUUUGAGGUUGUUAACGAGAUGGCAGAGCGCAUGUAACCACAAAAUGCCACGACGACUUCAUUUACGGAUUAAUUCAGCGGUUAUGUUAAAGUCGUAACAUACAGAGAGAGAGCCCGAGAAAGACAAGAAUGUCAUCAACAACAAUAUACACAAGGACUAUCUGAGUUUCUAGAACGACCCAUAAAUAAUCACAGACCGACGAUAAACUUAAGAUUUUAUAUACAAGUGUGAUUGAAAUAAUGAUUAUUAUUUUUAACUUUAAAGUGAUUUUAAGAGUUAUUUAAUGAAUCUUUUAUUCUUUCUU